GGAUACUCACAUUUAUUGCAAUCUCCGCACUUCUCCCAGUUCAUCAUUACAUUGAAGUCACCACUUACCGCCGUUCGCCAACUCCCCCAAGUGUUAUAAACUCUCUCCUCGGAGACGCUCAAACAAUAGAUUAUACAGAACCGGUUGUUCCAUAUGAGCCGGUUCGACCCAUAGAUUGGUAACGCAUAUUAGUAAUGCGUUUCAGCAGCCUUUUAGAUCAAGCCUUGUUUGCAAACUCCCUCGCCUUAUCUUCCAAAGUUCUCGCUGAAGCUCGGCGAUGGCUGACUGGACCGGACCCGCUACACGUCUGUGGGACCGGUAUUAUCUGUUCCACACCAACGUCCACGUGGCGCCCACGAUUUUUAAUGCCUUGUAUUUGAUUGCAAUAUUGUUCAUACUCAACUUCGUUAGGAUCUCGGUUCAGAUAGCAAUCAUAUAUAUAGCUAGCUUUCUUCCGGGGGGUGCACAAAGUUGGAAAGCUACCUGGGCAGUAGGUGUUGCAAUAUUUGCCACUAGCUAUUACUGCAUGAAGGCCUGUGUGGAAACUAAGAGAGCUCAAGCCCCCGAGCAAAUACUGGACCCUCCAACAAGAAAAAAUAAAUAGAAUUUGGUAUGGUACUGAAGUUCUUGUUAAUUCUUCUGAUAUCCGUAUCCACUACUACUAGCUAGACCCGGCAAUUGUGUCAUGUUUUGCGUACUUUCUUGUCGUGUACUUUCAUGUUUACCAAAACACGACAUGAAUUGAAUUCUUGUCGUUUUGUAUUAUGUGCGUAAAUAUAUUUUUACUCUAAAAAAUUAUUUUAAUAUUACUUUCUUUAUUAUAACAUGAUAUUUAAUACUAUCUUUUUCCCAUCCAUUUUGUUUUACAGUCUUUUCCUCACUGCUUGGCACACAUUUUAAGGCUCUUGUAAAAUAUUUUUCAAACUUUCUUUUUUUGUAUGAAAGUUUAAAUAUUAAACUUUUAUUUAGAAGAAAAAAAGUUUAAUAUAAUUUAUGAAACUAUAUUUUACUUGAGCCUUAAAAUGCUUGUUAAACCCUUCCCCUCCAAUGUAAACAAUUGGAGGGGACUGAAGGAGUAUCAUAAUAUUAAUUAUAUAUUCCAUUUAAAACAUUUAAUAUAUUUAUACUCUUAAAGUUUCAAAAUUCUGCUCGUUCUUUAUCCUAUAAGAUUAUGAUCUUUUACAAUAAACAUAUAAUAAGAAAUCGAUGUAUAUAUACAUACACACAUACAUGUAUCUAUAUUUCAUGUAUUUUCGUGUCCUUUGGUGUUGGUGUACCUUCUCUUGUACACAGAAGUCCAAACCCAAACACUAAAGUCUUGCGUUGUGUACAUUGCCGGAUCUACUGCUAGCAUAAAAAAAUUGUGUAAGAGGAUCCGUAACUGUAAACUUGAUGGAUUGCAUAUGGAAACAUAUGAAGCUUGUCCUCAUCAAUACCAUUCUUCUUUUCGUAUAUUGUGCUGGAUUAACUACAUCUCCACAGAUGAUUUAAGAUCAUCGGCUGGAAAAAGGCAGAAGAGAGUGGUUCUUAAUAAGUAAGUGGUUGAAUUUAUAAGAACUUGUCUGUUUCGUAAAUAGAAUUAUGUGUUUAUGUGUCCUUUUAUAAAUGUUGCAUAUAUCAAUUCUGUGUAAUUAUGUAGUGAAUUGUUGUGCUGAACCAUGGCCUGCACAUGUGAGAAUUCAGCAAAGUUUGUAAGCUUACUGCUGUAGUUUUUUUAUACAACCAGUCAUUGUAUGAACUGCAGACUAUUGUAAAGUUGGCUAAAAGUUUAUAGACGACUGCUUUUGUACUUUUCUA